UCUGUCUCCAAAUGUGGUUGUGAGGACUCCACAAAUUCAUGCGGUAUCACAGCCAAGCGGACCUUUUAAUGAGCCCCUUCCGUGCACCAGGCCAGCGGGGUUUCACUGCAGGACCUUGACCGUUAGGGAAUCAGAGAGGAGAGGCUCCCUGGGGCUGGAAGUGCCAAGAGGUGCCCUGGAAGACGGCGGACUCGGAGUUAACAAUGGCUGAUGUUACUGAGCACUGACUGCGUUCAAACCAGCGUCCUAAACACCUCACCCAUUUCCCACCUGCGCCAGGAGCUGUAGAAUAUUCCAUCAAGCGGGCGUCUUCUUCACAACUCCCUCCCCAUUUGCUCGAGCCUGGGGUUUUUGUUCCAGCUUCUGAUGCGGCAGCAGGCAUUCCUGGGAGUAAAAUUCUUCCCUUAUCUGAUGUGACUUGGAGAAGUGAAUUCCUGACAGUGGACUUUCUGAAGCCAGUAAGCUGGUGCUGGGGGAGGUCUGGGGGACAGAGGGUCCUUCUUGGCAACCUAGUGAUGGAACCGCACCAGCCAUUGUGAGUUUCAUCCAUGCUUAAGGCCUCCCCACCCCUGUAGGUAGUUUUGAACCUCACCAUCUGAGCUGAAGGUUUCUGCUUUAUCUGCUAAAGGUGCCCACGCCCCCUCCCAGAGCCCUGGGAUGUUAUCCCCACCCUGACACUAGUGGGCUACGGGACCUUGGGCACGUGACUUCUGUGGGGCCUCUGUCUGUCAGUUCAGGGUGGAUGACCUCUCCAUCCUGCCCAGUGAGAAGACCUGAGGAGAGUCCAGUCCAGCUCUGUCCCUAAGUUACCGCAGACUCUCACGGUCCUGCAAAGCUCUCUGGGCUCAGUUUCCCCGUCUCUUUGCAAGAGGUUGCAACAGUAGAGCCACCAAGCGGGCAGACGUGAGCUCACAGGCACCCACUCGUCUUACUUACCCCCAGGGACUCGGCGCCCCUAGAGGACAGAGAUCCCAGAACCCGGUGCAGACCCCAAACCACGGAAGCACCAUGAAUGACCAUCAACAGCUUCCUCUUCGGCCCGAGCUUGCUGCUCUCUCAGGGCCUUCGAAUUUGCGAAGCCUCUGCCUGGAGCAUCUUUCCUCAGUUCCUCUCCUUACUGGCUCCAUCUCGUCACUCAAGUCUUGGCUCAGAUGACACCACUUCCAGGAGACCCUUGCUGGCCACCCUGUCUAGCGCCUGCCUGAGCUAGGCACCGGAACAGGACCGGCUGAGUGGGCCAGCAUCGGCAUGGGGGACUUGCUCCCCCCAGCAGUUCUGGGAGAAGAAAGUUGAACCCCAAACCCAAUAGGGGGCUUCAGUGGGAGGCCCAGCUGGGUUGGGGGGAC
ensembl:lncRNA